GACGAACGCUGGCGGCGUGCCUAAUACAUGCAAGUCGAACGAGAAAUUCUUACACCGGAUGCUUGCAUCCACCGUAAGAUUUCGAGUGGCGGACGGGUGAGUAACACGUGGGUAACCUGCCCAAAAGAAGGGGAUAACAUUUGGAAACAAGUGCUAAUACCGUAUAACCAUGAUGACCGCAUGGUCAUGAUGUAAAAGGUGGUUUUGCUAUCGCUUUUGGAUGGACCCGCGGCGUAUUAACUAGUUGGUAAGGUAACGGCUUACCAAGGUGAUGAUACGUAGCCGAACUGAGAGGUUGAUCGGCCACAAUGGGACUGAGACACGGCCCAUACUCCUACGGGAGGCAGCAGUAGGGAAUCUUCCACAAUGGGCGCAAGCCUGAUGCAGCAACGCCGCGUGCGGGAUGACGGCCUUCGGGUUGUAAACCGCUUUUAGUAAGGAAGAAGGGGGGCCUUCGGGUUUCUUGACGGUACUUGCAGAAAAAGGACCGGCUAACUACGUGCCAGCAGCCGCGGUAACAC
rnacentral:rRNA from 1 species